AUGGAGGUAAAGAGAGUUUACUUGAAGAUGGAGCAUGGAUAUACUUUCAACGUCAAAUUAUAUAAUGGAGACACAUACACCCAUUUUGAAUGCAAAACUUGGCAAGCACUAUGCAAGGCUUAUGCAUUUGAGCCUGAUAUGGUUAUCACCUUUGAUAUUCGUCCGAAAGAUGAUAUUGAAGGUAAUAUAGACAUUUGGGUCAAUAUGCAAACGCCUCUAGUUCUACUAUUAUCUUAUUUUGGUUCAAGGAAACAUGUCCGGCGCUUGGUAGACAGGACCUACUACUGCCCCGGGGCUCAACUAAACUGUGAGGAGAUAAGUCAUUAUGUUUCAUGGCUUAAGGAUCUUAAUACUGUCAAAAGGUCGCAUUUCAAUGGUUAG
rnacentral:rRNA from 1 species